rnacentral:lncRNA from 1 species
AACAUCCAUUUUAUAAUCCAAGUAAACCAUACAACCACCUAAGACAAAAUCAUCACUGUCACGCAGAAAAAUCCCGAUGCCAACCACUGUGUCAUGAAUCCCUACAUCAACAUUUAUCUUAAUGACAUCAAUUGGGGGCUUAACCCACCUUUGGGAUCUAGGAGGUCUAGGUUUCAUCGCAACAUGCGACAAGUUAAAAAUCCUAAAAUCAUCCCCCAAAGUACAAGCCCGCUCCCAAAUCAACCGAGCAUCCUUCUCCUUCUCGCAGAACAAAGCAUUGUUGCGACUAUUUCGAAUAUUCCAAAGGACCAUAUGAGGUUCUCAAAAGCCUUAAGGUCCAACAAGCGAGUAGCAUCCUCAAGCCAAUCAAUACACCUCUCAAAAGCAGAAUCAAGUAAAUGACCA